rnacentral:lncRNA from 1 species
AAAAAAGUUAAUAUGUAAGAACGGUGUAUUUUUUUGCGCUGUGACUGGCUUUUUUACGUUUCACUAAAAUAGUAAUGCAGUGUGACAAAUACAUUUUUAAAAGUUGAAAUAAUCAAUCUAGUCUCGCAAUUAAUAUGAUAACUUAAAUGUGCAUAUACAAAAAUAAAAAUACAAAAAAAGUAAAAUAGUUUAAUUUAAAAAAAAUAAAAAUAAAACUACACUCUAUAAACCCUAGAGAAUAAAUCAAAUCUUCAGCAGAUAGUAAAAAUGUGUUCGAGUGUAGUCCGCGUGCUGUGAGACAGUGAGGAGUGAUGAUCACGUGACGCGGGCGUUCUGUAGGCUACUGUAGCCUCGGCUUGAUUCUUUGAAAGAGGAAACGCGCCGCACUCGCUCCUCACUGGCAUCAUCUCCCUAGAGAAUAAAUCAAAUCUUCAGCAGAUAGUAAAAAUGUGUUCGAGUGUAGUCCGCGUGCUGUGAGACAGUGAGGAGUGAUGAUCACGUGACGCGGGCGUUCUGUAGGCUACUGUAGCCUCGGCUUGAUUCUUUGAAAGAGGAAACGCGCCGCACUCGCUCCUCACUGGCAUCAUCUCUGAGGGAACAGAGCUCAGAACAUAUUUUGUUUAUUUACGCUACAAUUAGCUAACUAAAUAACCUAAGCAGCCGGUCGUUUUUCUUUAACCUCAUCAUUUUGCUAUUUUACCACUAUUACGCCCAACAACCAUUAGAAACGCCAACCUUUCUUCGAAGACUACACCUGUCCCAGCAUCAUCUGAGUGAGAUUCCGCAAAGCUACUGUGAAACUGCUCUGAAAGAACAGGUCAAGAGAUUGGGGGCAUGAACGCACAGACAGGCACCACUGAAAAAGUUUUGCUUAUGGCCUCCAGAAGUCUAGGAUCAGCACCGGUCGUCACAGUGCAACUAAAAGCAUGAAAUGGUAUUGUAUACUGUAAAUAAUGAUUGUUGCAGAGCAGGGUUUUUUUCCAUCCCUUUCAUCCCAUUCUCAUCUGUCAUUAUUUGAACAAACAGACAGUACCGCCCCAAACUGAUGCCACUUGUUGGCUGUGAUUUUUCUCCAGUCAUUUUCAUAGUUUAA